rnacentral:rRNA from 1 species
GCAUCGAUGAAGAACGCAGCGAAAUGCGAUACCUAGUGUGAAUUGCAGCCAUCGUGAAUCAUCGAGUUCUUGAACGCACAUUGCGCCCGCUGGUAUUCCGGCGGGCAUGCCUGUCUGAGCGUCGUUUCCUUCUUGGAGCGGAGCUUCAGACCUGGCGGGCUGUCUUUCGGGACGGCGCGCCCAAAGCGAGGGGCCUUCUGCGCGAACUAGACUGUGCGCGCGGGGCGGCCGGCGAACUUAUACCAAGCUCGACCUCAGAUCAGGCAGGAGUACCCGCUGAACUUAAGCAUAUCAAUAAGCGGAGGA